UUUUCACGCUUUGGUAAAUUGACAAAAUUGAAAAAAGUUGUUUCAGAUUCGCAAAUUUUCGUUUUAGUUAUGAUAUUUGUGAGGAAACAGUAAUACUGAACAUUUACCAUGGUCUAAUAUAGCCAUUAUAUGCAUCUUUUGACGAUUUUAAAACCUAAAAAUUAUAAAGCGUUGCAACGCGAAACGAUUGAAUAAUUUGGAGAGUUCUGUUUUUGUCGUUAAAUUUUGUGAAACUACGAAGAUUGCUUAUAUAAGGUAUAAAAUACUUCAAGUAUAUGUACUCGGCGGAAUAGCUCAGUAGGCUAAAGCGUUUUUACUUCAGGACUCUGGCAGGACUCCAGGGGUCACUGGUUCGAAACCUGGUCCGGGCAAUGUUCUUUUCCUUUUUUUAAUUUUAUUCUUGAUUUUUUACUGGAGCUUUUACGAU